UCUGACACAGGUGCUGCAUGGCUGUCGUCAGCUCGUGUCGUGAGGAUGUUCGGGUUAAGUCCCGUAACGAGCGCAACCCUUGUCCUUAGUUACCAGCACGUUAUGGUGGGCACUCUAAGGAGACUGCCGGUGACAAACCGGAGGAAGGUGGGGAUGACGUCAAGUCAUCAUGGCCCUUACGGCCUGGGCUACACACGUGCUACAAUGGUCGGUACAAAGGGUUGCCAAGCCGCGAGGUGGAGCUAAUCCCAUAAAACCGAUCGUAGUCCGGAUCGCAGUCUGCAACUCGACUGCGUGAAGUCGGAAUCGCUAGUAAUCGUGAAUCAGAAUGUCACGGUGAAUACGUUCCCGGGCCUU
rnacentral:rRNA from 1 species